rnacentral:tRNA from 1 species
UCCCUGGUGGUCCAGUGGCUAAGACUCUGUGCUCCCAAUGCAGGAGGCCUAGGUUCAAUACCUGGUCAGGGAA